AAAACAUGACUUUGAUCUGCGUCCUCAUCUGGACUCUCCUCUGCUGCUGCUUCACAGAGUCCAGAGGACAGAUCACAGUGACUCAGCCUGGAGCAGUGAGCUCUGCUGUGGGAGGAUCUGUGAGCAUCAAGUGUAGGACCAGUCAGGAUGUUUUUGUUCAAAGCAACUCUCACUGUUUAGCCUGGUUCCAACAGAAAGAUGAAAAACCUCCCAAACGGUUCAUUUACUACACUAGCAUUCGAGAUUCAGGGAUUCCAGCUCGUUUUACAGGCAGUGGAUCAAACUCUGACUUCACUCUGACCAUCAGUGGAGUCCAGGCUGAAGAUGCAGCAGUUUAUUACUGUCAGAGUUAUCACUACAUCAACAAUCAAGGUGUGUUCACACAGUGAAAAACAGUCGUACAA